GAUGAACGCUAGCUACAGGCUUAACACAUGCAAGUCGAGGGGAAACGACAUCGAAAGCUUGCUUUUGAUGGGCGUCGACCGGCGCACGGGUGAGUAACGCGUAUCCAACCUGCCCACCACUUGGGGAUAACCUUGCGAAAGUAAGACUAAUACCCAAUGACGUCUCCAGAAGACAUCUGAAAGAGAUUAAAGAUUUAUCGGUGAUGGAUGGGGAUGCGUCUGAUUAGCUUGUUGGCGGGGUAACGGCCCACCAAGGCGACGAUCAGUAGGGGGUCUGAGAGGAAGGUCCCCCACAUUGGAACUGAGACACGGUCCAAACUCCUACGGAAGGCAGCAGUGAGGAAUAUUGGUCAAUGGGCGAGAGCCUGAACCAGCCAAGUAGCGUGCAGGAUGACGGCCCUAUGGGUUGUAAACUGCUUUUAUAAGGGAAUAAAGUGAGUCUCGUGAGACUUUUUGCAUGUACCUUAUGAAUAAGGACCGGCUAAUUCCGUGCCAGCAGCCGCAGUAA
rnacentral:rRNA from 1 species